UCUAUUUUAUUAUUCUAUACGAUGAACAGUGUAGUAUCUCCUGUGUGUGCUGGGAGAGGGCCACGUUUAUACUAUGAAAAUAGUAUUUGUUUUGAGUUAUAUGCUUUUAAAAAGUAAGAGAUUGUCUGUGACGGUUAGUGUCAUCAGCUUGUUGGGGUCUAGAAUUCCCUGGGAGAAUGUCCUCUGACCAUGUCUCUGGGGGAAUUUUCUUGACUAAGUUAACUGAGAUGCCUACUAUAGGUAGCAUCCUUCCUUGUCUGGGAAUUCUGGAUGCUCUAAAUGGAGAAAGGAGCUGUGCCCUAGCAAGCAAGCAUACAUUCACUGGUUUCCCCUUCUGAGUGCAGAUUAAAUGUAACCAGCUGCCCUGAGCUCCAGCUACCUACCAUGACCAUGACAGUUCUUACAAAAGAAAGCAUUUAAUUAGGGGCUCACAGUACCAGGGGGUAAAUUCCUGAUCAUCAUGGUAGAAAACAGUAUUGGCACUGAGGUAAUAGCUUUUAGAGCCUGAUCCGAAGCCAGAGAGAACAAUGGCCCACGCAUAGGUUUUUAAAACCUCAAAGCCCACCCCAGUGAUAUACCUUCUCUGACAAGUUCACACCUCCUAAUCCCUUUCAAGCAGUUUUACUCACUGGACCCAAGCCUUCAAACACAUAAGUUUAUGGAAACCAUCCCCAUUCAGAUCACCACACCGUGGUUCCUGGACUGAAUACAAAGAAAAUAAGCUGAGCCCCCAGCAUUCAUCUCCCCCAGCCUUCUGACAGGGACAUAAUAGAACCAGCUCCAUGGUGUUCCUGGCACCAUGUCUUCCCCACAGAGAUUAAGUGUAUGAUAUAACUGUGAGUUAAAGUACACCCAUCCUCCUUUCUGUUGCUUUUGUUAUGUGUUUUGUUAGAGCAGCAAGAAAAGUGAAGAAUGGAUCAGGUUUGGACCAGCAAAUGUACAAGGUGCUCUACAACAAUAGUGACUGUUUAUGGGCCAGGUACUGCUGGGGGUCAGCAUACACAUCAUGUGUCUUAUUUUCCAUGGCUCUACUAACCUUAAACAGUACAAUAAGGAAAUGUCUGUUCAUUUAAUAUGUGGAUGUAAAUAAGGUCACACAGCCAAGGCAGCCUCGGCUUGUUUGAACUUGAGUCUAACUUCAAAGGAAAUGUUCUUUCUCUUGUAUCUCUGCAACUCUAAUACUUAUCCACAGUACGCAAUGGGUCAACCUUGGACCUUGUGAAAACUUUGAAAACACCAGGCAGAAGCUCCAGUAGAUCAGGUGAAAUAUACUUAAAGCUGUUUUCAGUGCCCUUUCAAAGAGAAGAAUCAGGAAAAAAAUU
rnacentral:lncRNA from 1 species